UACGUAGGGUGCGAGCGUUGUCCGGAAUUACUGGGCGUAAAGGGCUUGUAGGUGGUUUGUCGCGUUGUCCGUGAAAACUCACAACUCAAUUGUGGGCGUGCGGGCGAUACGGGCAGACUGGAGUACUGCAGGGGAGACUGGAAUUCCUGGUGUAGCGGUGGAAUGCGCAGAUAUCAGGAGGAACACCGGUGGCGAAGGCGGGUCUCUGGGCAGUAACUGACGCUGAGGAGCGAAAGCGUGGGGAGCGAACAGG
rnacentral:rRNA from 1 species